CCUACGGGAGGCAGCAGUAAGGAAUAUUGGACAAUGGGCGCAAGCCUGAUCCAGCCAUGCCGCGUGAAGGAUUAAGGCCCUCUGGGUUGUAAACUUCUUUUAUAGGGGACGAAAAAAGGGCUUUCUAGCUCGACUGACGGUACCCUAUGAAUAAGCACCGGCUAACUCCGUGCCAGCAGCCGCGGUAAUACGGAGGGUGCAAGCGUUAUCCGGAUUCACUGGGUUUAAAGGGUGCGUAGGCGGGCAGUUAAGUCAGUGGUGAAAUCUCUGGGCUCAACCCGGAAACUGCCAUUGAUACUAUCUGUCUUGAAUAUUGUGGAGGUGAGCGGAAUAUGUCAUGUAGCGGUGAAGUGCUUAGAUAUGACAUAGAACACCGAUUGCGUAGGCAGCUCGCUACACAUAUAUUGACGCUGAGGCACGAAAGCGUGGGGAUCAAACAGGAUUAGAUACCCUGGUAGUCCACGCCCUAAACUAUGAUUACUCGACAUUUGCGAUACACAGUAAGUGUCUGAGNGAAGANAUAAGUAAUACACCGNGGAGACGACCGACGAGUAGAACGACGAAGAGUAGUAGACGAGAGAGAGCGACGGACGGACGACGACGGAGGGAGGAG
rnacentral:rRNA from 1 species